UACGGGGGGGGCAAGCGUUGUUCGGAAUUACUGGGCGUAAAGCGUGCGCAGGCGGGCUUUUAAGCCAGACGUGAAAUCCCCGGGCUUAACCUGGGAAUGGCGUUUGGGACUGGAAGUCUGGAGUGCGGCAGAGGAGACUGGAAUUCCUGGUGUAGCAGUGAAAUGCGUAGAUAUCAGGAGGAACACCUGCGGUGUAGACGGCUUACUGGACCAUCACUGACGCUGAGGCACGAAAGCGUGGGUAGCAAACAGG
rnacentral:rRNA from 1 species